GAUGAACGCUGGCGGCGUGCCUAAUACAUGCAAGUCGAGCGAAUGGAUUAAGAGCUUGCUCUUAUGAAGUUAGCGGUGGACGGGUGAGUAACACGUGGGUAACCUGCCCAUAAGACUGGGAUAACUCCGGGAAACCGGGGCUAAUACCGGAUAACAUUUUGAACCGCAUGGUUCGAAAUUGAAAGGCGGCUGCGGCUGUCACUUAUGGAUGGACCCGCGUCGCAUUAGCUAGUUGGUGAGGUAACGGCUCACCAAGGCAACGAUGCGUAGCCGACCUGAGAGGGUGAUCGGCCACACUGGGACUGAGACACGGCCCAGACUCCUACGGGAGGCAGCAGUAGGGAAUCUUCCGCAAUGGACGAAAGUCUGACGGAGCAACGCCGCGUGAGUGAUGAAGGCUUUCGGGUCGUAAAACUCUGUUGUUAGGGAAGAACAAGUGCUAGUUGAAUAAGCUGGCACCUUGACGGUACCUAACCAGAAAGCCACGGCUAACUACGUGCCAGCAGCCGCAGUAA
rnacentral:rRNA from 1 species